ACGGAAGGCAGCAGUGGGGAAUAUUGGGCAAUGGGCGAAAGCCUGACCCAGCAACGCCGCGUGAAGGAAGAAGGUUUUCGGAUUGUAAACUUCUUUUAUCAGGGACGAAGAAAGUGACGGUACCUGAUGAAUAAGCCACGGCUAACUACGUGCCAGCAGCCGCGGUAAUACGUAGGCGGCAAGCGUUAUCCGGAUUUACUGGGUGUAAAGGGCGCGUAGGCGGGGAUGCAAGUCAGGUGUGAAAUCUAUGGGCUUAACCCAUAAACUGCAUUUGAAACUGUAUCUCUUGAGUGUCGGAGAGGUAGACGGAAUUCCUAGUGUAGCGGUGAAAUGCGUAGAUAUUAGGAGGAGCACCAGUGGCGCAGGCGGCUUACUGGACGGUAACUGACGUUGAGGCUCGAAAGCGUGGGGAGCAAACAGGAUUAGAUACCCUGGUA
rnacentral:rRNA from 1 species